AAUAAUCUCAUUUUUCGUUUUUCUGUGUCUAACGUUUAACCAUUCGUCUUAUUCGAAAUUUUUUUACGAUUAAUUUUUUUAUUGUUACUAGAUGAUAAAAUAUGAAUAAUAUUUUAUACGUGACUAAUUUUUUUAAGUUUUUAUAUAAAUUUUUCAGAAAAGACGAAUAAUCAAACAUUAGACAUGGAAAAAC
rfam:Oryza brachyantha chromosome 4, whole genome shotgun sequence.